UAUAGGUCAUAUUUUGUCAUUUUGUAUAUUGUUGGUGGGUAUGUGUUCUUUUGUGAUUGGUUGAAUUUUUUUAAUUUUUUUUGUUUCUUUGUUUGCCUGUUAUUAGUGUGUGGAUUUAUGUCUUGUGUACGUGUUGUAUUGUUGUCAUCAUCUAUUCUCACCGUCUCUCUAAGCCAAUAACCGACUUCCACCAACAUGUGACUUAUCAUGUUCUUCGUUUCAAAGAAUUUGAAAUGACUUUGUUUUCCGGUUGUUGAUUCGCGUCUUCACUCUGCUCCUUUGCCGCCAACAUCUACCAAUUUUGGCUUCUAUGAUUUACCAAUUUAGGAUUUGUUUUCCUGUUUCCAAAUGUUGAAAGUGUUGGCGUCGAGACGCCCCCAAUGCAUACGAGACACCGCUAACGCGGUACCAUCAACCUCCGUUCACUGCCACGUACCACCAUUGUCGUCGAAGCCGGACGUUCACAGCAAUCGAUCUUCGACCGCCGCCUUCUUUCUUCCUUCACAGCUCCCGGAAUAGCCCUAAAGUUAAAGUGGUCCACUGGUGCUCCGAUUCAUUGACCCCAACUUUAGGUGCUUCUCCAACCUAAUUUUUCUCAAAUUAUAGCCAUAGAGGUAGAAUUUUUCUUUUUAUGUUUAAUUUUCAUAUGACAAUCAUAGUUGUUUGGAUUCCUUGCUUCUAUGUCGACUUGAUUGUGCGAUUACUUACUACCAGUUAAAGGUUGACUAAUUGAAGAUCUAGAAUCAGUCAAGGUAAAGGACUUGAACCCAAUUUUCAUGUUCACCUAACUUCCUCUGUCUUUCUCUCCUAUGUCUAUGAUAGAGAGCAUGUCGCGUUAGGUUUUGGAAACAAUACGUGUGCCUACGCUUUCUCUUUCGAAUCAGGAAAUCGAAGAUAUAAGGGCUCUCAGAUGGUGACGAAUCUACCAACAAAAAUCAUUGGUAGAGGUUUUAGUUAGGAACAAUUUUAUCUAUCAAAAUUAUAAUGAUUAUAAGUUAUGAUUGUUGAAAAUAAUUCUCUAAUACCGGAGGGAGUGGGUUGCGGCUCCUGCCGCACUUGAGUGUCACAUCAACAGGAACACCACCCCCUGGGGUGCAGUAAAGGUGAGAUAGGGGGUGUUGUGUGACAUUCCAAGGGAAUACUCUUUCAAACAAUGUGAUUAGUUCUUUUUUCUUA